rnacentral:rRNA from 1 species
UACGUAGGGUGCAAGCGUUAAUCGGAAUUACUGGGCGUGAAGCGUGCGCAGGCGGUUUGUUAAGUCUGUUGUGAAAUCCCCGAGCUCAACUUGGGAAUUGCAAUGGAUACUGGCAGGCUGGAGUAUGGUAGAGGAAGGUGGAAUUCCCGGUGUAGCAGUGAAAUGCGUAGAGAUCGGGAGGAACACCAGUGGCGAAGGCGGCCUUCUGGACCAAUACUGACGCUCAUGCACGAAAGCGUGGGGAGCAAACAGG